rnacentral:rRNA from 1 species
UACAGAGGGUGCGAGCGUUAAUCGGAUUUACUGGGCGUAAAGCGUGUGUAGGUGGCUACCUAAGUCGGAUUGUGAAAUCCCUGGGCUCAACCUGGGAAUUGCAGUCGAUACUGGGAAGCUCGAGUUCGGUAGAGGACGGCGGAAUUCCCGGUGUAGCGGUGAAAUGCGUAGAUAUCGGGAGGAACAUCGAUGGCGAAAGCAACCGUCUGGCCUGAACUGACACUGAGACACGAAAGCGUGGGGAGCAAACAGG